rnacentral:rRNA from 1 species
AGUCACUGACAUUAGAUACCCGUGUAGUCCAGGGUGUAAACGCUGCAGACUUGGUGUUGGGAACCCUUCGGGGGUGCUCAGUGCCGGAGAGAAGUUGUUAAGUCUGCUACUUGGGGAGUACGUCCGCAAGGAUGAAACUUAAAGGAAUUGGCGGGGGAGCACAACAACGGGUGGAGCCUGCGGUUUAAUUGGACUCAACGCCGGACAACUCACCGGGGACGACAGCAAUAUGUAGGCCAGGCUGAAGACCUUGCCUGAAUCGCUG